CAGAUCAAGGAGAGAGAGAGAGAGUGAGAAAACGAGCUCUAGCCCACCACCGUCCACCUUUUCCGUCUCCGGCGCCGAUUCCGGCCAAAUCUGGCCAAAAUUUUUACACCAUUCUCUUCCUCUCUUCAUGGGCUUUCUAUUGAUAUAUUUCAAGACCUAUCAUCAAGUGUGCGCGACGAAUCGAUGGAGAGAAGAUUGAGUGAUUUUCCGACUAUUUUUCAAAUUCCGGCCAAACCAUUGAGAAUUUGGAGAAACCCCAAGGUAAUUCGGUUGAGCAAGCUUUCGAGGAUAUUCCCGAGACGGGACUUACCUAGUCACCCUUCAUUGUUAGCAUUGCAGAGGUCGGAUCAAUAUCCACGUCAAAGGCGUACAUCCACUUGAUCUUCUUGACCUUCUGACAUCAGUCGUAUAGUUUACUUAGUAAUAGUUCUUAUGUUAAUUAGAGGAGUUUUGAGAGGCCAUAAGUAAAUUGAGGUGUAUUGAAAUUUGAUGUAAAUAUUGGACGAGAGACACUUUGAUU